AGAGUUUGAUCCUGGCUCAGGACGAACGCUGGCGGCGCGCCUAACACAUGCAAGUCGAACGAGCGAGAGGAGGUUUACUUUCUCAAGCGAGUGGCGAACGGGUGAGUAACGCGUGAGGAACCUGCCUCAAAGAGGGGGACAACAGUUGGAAACGACUGCUAAUACCGCAUAAGCCCACGGCUCGGCAUCGAGCAGAGGGAAAAGGAGCAAUCCGCUUUGAGAUGACCUCGCGUCCGAUUAGCUGGUUGGUGAGGUAACGGCCCACCAAGGCGACGAUCGGUAGCCGGACUGAGAGGUUGAACGGCCACAUUGGGACUGAGACACGGCCCAGACUCCUACGGGAGGCAGCAGUGGGGAAUAUUGCACAAUGGGGGAAACCCUGAUGCAGCGACGCCGCGUGGAGGAAGAAGGUUUUCGGAUUGUAAACUCCUGUCGUUAGGGACGAUAAUGACGGUACCUAACAAGAAAGCACCGGCUAACUACGUGCCAGCAGCCGCGGUAAAACGUAGGGUGCAAGCGUUGUCCGGAAUUACUGGGUGUAAAGGGAGCGCAGGCGGGAAGACAGGUUGGAAGUGAAAACCAUGGGCUCAACCCAUGAAUUGCUUUCAAAACUGUUUUUCUUGAGUAGUGCAGAGGUAGAUGGAAUUCCCGGUGUAGCGGUGGAAUGCGUAGAUAUCGGGAGGAACACCAGUGGCGAAGGCGGUCUACUGGGCACCAACUGACGCUGAGGCUCGAAAGCAUGGGUAGCAAACAGGAUUAGAUACCCUGGUAGUCCAUGCCGUAAACGAUGAUUACUAGGUGUUGGGGGAUUGACCCCCUCAGUGCCGCAGUUAACACAAUAAGUAAUCCACCUGGGGAGUACGACCGCAAGGUUGAAACUCAAAGGAAUUGACGGGGGCCCGCACAAGCAGUGGAGUAUGUGGUUUAAUUCGAAGCAACGCGAAGAACCUUACCAGGUCUUGACAUCCGAUGCAUAGCACAGAGAUGUGUGAAAUCCUUCGGGACAUCGAGACAGGUGGUGCAUGGUAGUCGUCAGCUCGUGUCGUGAGAUGUUGGGUUAAGUCCCGCAACGAGCGCAACCCUUAUUGCCAGUUACUACGUUAAGAGGACUCUGGCGAGACUGCCGUUGACAAAACGGAGGAAGGUGGGGAUGACGUCAAAUCAUCAUGCCCUUUAUGACCUGGGCUACACACGUACUACAAUGGCGUUAAACAAAGAGAAGCAAGACCGCGAGGUGGAGCAAAACUCAAAAACAACGUCUCAGUUCAGAUUGCAGGCUGCAACUCGCCUGCAUGAAGUCGGAAUUGCUAGUAAUCGCGGAUCAGCAUGCCGCGGUGAAUACGUUCCCGGGCCUUGCACUCACCGCCCGUCA
rnacentral:rRNA from 1 species